AUGCACAGAUUUCUGGGGCGCAGCAGAGGUGAUGGCCAGAGGGGUACAAUGAGGUACCUGCUGAAGCGAGCUGCUCCUCCAUCUGCAGCUUUUGGACUCAGGAGACCUCGUGGACAUCCCUAUGGCCGCAGCCCACUGCAAGGCAGACCCACACAAGGCAGCUGCAUGGCGCUGUGUGUCCAGGGGUCAGGACCAGAGAUGGCUGGACCAGAGCUGGAAACCUCUGAGAUGCCUGGAGCCCAGCUCCUAGCAGAUGAGGGAUUGACCAUCAACAGAAAUCGGAAGGAAAACUGUUUAUUUCAGUGGAGGUAAUGUUAUUUAAAGCGGAACAAAACCAAAACUAACGUGACAGGUUUGGGAAGCACGGCCAGUUCCCACAAAGCCAGCGGUACGUGGGGCUGCUUUCAGAGCCCUCUGGAGGCUGUUUCCAUCCUUCUUUCGGGGGCUUGUGUCCUG
rnacentral:lncRNA from 1 species